ACUUUGUGUUUUUGUUGAACUGGUGAACAAACACAUAAAUACAGGUAAAAAGUAAAAAGAAACCCAGUUUUGUAAGCUAAAACACAUGGUUCAGCAUGAGUUUCUACACAGAUAAGGAGGAAUAUG